rnacentral:rRNA from 2 species
AGGUGCGAUCAUACUAGCAAUAAUGGACUGGAUCCGAUAAGAACUUUGCAGUUAAGCGUGCUUCGGCGAGAGUAGUUCUAGGAUGGGUGACCUCCUGGGAAGUCCUCGUGUUGCACCUU